CUCUUCUUUAAUGUCACCUACUAGUGAGAAGAGAAUAGAGGUGAACUAAACAGGAAAUGAUGCGUUCGUGCCAAAUGAAGGCCAAAUGACAUCGCAGAGGGCUGUACAAAGUAGUGCAAGGAGAGAGAGGAAAGCGGUUUGCAAACCGAGUGAGCACACGAGGUAGUAAUGUGGGUACGUGGAGCUCUGGGCACCGGGUCUGCACCAGCAGGACGGAACUCAGGCUGCAAACUGUGACUGAGCUUCCACCAGACGUGACUCAUGGCUGCAUGCUGGCGUUGUAUUGCGUUUGUAUUUGAAUCUGCUUUUAGUUGGGUAAGUUGUUCCGGGUGUGUUUGAGCUCUUGCCAUGAACAGUUUAGGUCUAGUUUUAUAAGCACAUUUAAGUACCCUAAAAUAAUUUCAUACCGGAAUCAAUCCUUGAACAACCUUUUUUUUUUCCUCUGGAAAGAUGGUUUCUGUACAUUGCUCAAGUUCGAAGACCACUGCACAGAAUGAAUGGGUCCACCAACUUUGCUUGCUCUGGGGAAACCUUCAGAUUAAGAAUCUAAAGACUGCAAAUGAAGGGGAUUUAAAAAGAGUUGAAGAAAAACAUGGAAAUGGAGCUUUUGCAAUUGGGGAGGCAGGAGCACAGAGGGACAGGAGGGGAAGAGAAACAAAAAAGAUCUAAAGUGUGUUGUGUACAAGCGCAAACUCCCCACGACAAACGCAACCAUUAUGAAUGAAACAUAAACAUGUACUAAUAAAAAAUCUUAAAAUCUAGCAAAAUUUAACAAUAGUAUUUUGGAAUGUUUAUAAUUCCAAUUUAUAUACUUAAGCUCCCUUGUAAAUAUUCAACUACAUUUGUAGAUAUGUAUAUUCAAUUUCAUCCUUUAAAUACAUCAAUUGUUUACCUGAGUAACUCUCUCUCUCCCCAU
rnacentral:lncRNA from 1 species